AGAGGACGUUGCCCUUCGGGGUAUACCUCCCACCCUUUGUUUAUUAUACCUUUGUUGCUUUGGCGGGCCCGUCCUCGGACCACCGGCUCUAUGCUGGUCAGUGCCCGCCAGAGGACCUAAAACUCUGUUUGUUUAAUAUUGUCUGAGUACUAUAUAAUAGUUA
rnacentral:misc_RNA from 1 species